AUGGGGCCCCCCACCCGCAGCGAGUUCGGCUUCUCCGUCGCCGGCAGGCGCAAGCGCUCGCCGGAGUUCCCCUGCGUGUCGCGCUUCCGGCAGCGGCGGCUCAUCUCCUUCCUCGGGCACCACAACUUCUACCGCACCGUGGAUGACAAGGCACUCGACUACCUCUCCCGCUUCCUGCCGUCCGACGGCCCGCUCGGCGUCCACGGCCGCGCCCUCUUCCACUACCUCCGCGUGCACAAGGCCAUCGACGACGUGCUCGCCGGAGCCCCGGAGGCCCGCUCCGUCACCACCGCCCUCGACCAGUGCAUCAUCCGCCACCCCACCAAGAGCCACGCCCUCACCAGGCUCCGCGCCAUCUUCUCCUCCCUCCUCUGCUCCAAGCGAUACAGGGCUGUCCUGGACAUAGGGCGCGCGAGGCACAAGGCUAAACUGACUAUCGUCGACUUGGUUUGUAAGACUCCAGAGUUGAAAGACCACAUGCGACACGCCCGCGGCCCAAUGGAACCCCAGAACGUGCUUCCCAUUGGCUUCGGCUACGCCUGGCUGCCUUCUUUGACUUCAGACGAUCACUCCCAGGGGUUAACUCGUGAGUCAUUAAUUAAGGCCAAGGAAUGGCUUGUGGAUCUUGUUGAGAUAAGUUUGGAAACCGGCAAGAUGAGUGAAGCGGAACUGACUCAAUCUGCCUCUAACAAAGGUGGUCCGGUUACUCCAGUCUCACGGACUAAUCUUGCUACCUUCAAAAUGGUUACUAAUCGUAAGGAAUAUUUGAAAGCUUGGCCAGACGCGAGUCAAGAUGAUCUACCUCAACUUUUCUGCAAGGAUGGUGAUCCUGAUGGCACAGUAUCCCAUUAUUCCCAUUCAGUGCCUGGUAGCUUGACUAGUCUUGCUGAAAAUUCAGCGUUUGCAUCAGUCAAAAAGCCAGGUUAUUUAUAUCGUGAUUAA
rnacentral:rRNA from 1 species